rnacentral:tRNA from 1 species
GACAGUGUAGCACAACGGUUAGAGAAAUAGGCUUAAAACACAAAGCUUCUGGGUUCAAUCCCCAGCUGUGGCA